rnacentral:lncRNA from 1 species
GGUUGAGAUGAUAAUUUUGAGCUAAUGUUUUCGUAUAUCAGUAUAUGUAUGCAAGUAAUAUAUGAAGGUUGAAUCAAAAGUAAGAAUAUUUCUGCCAAUGCAUCAAUUUUCAUCUUUUCAUUCGUAUAUUGUUGUGUCUAGUUUAGUAUUUACACAAAAGGUGCAUAUAUUUUCUUAAAUUUUCAAUGUGUACAGUAAUAUCAAAGAGCUGGAUAAUAAGUAAGAGUAUUUUCAUUAAUGCACCAAAUUUUUUUCUUUCUAGUUGGAACUGACACAAAAGGUGCAAAUGUUUUCUUAAAACUUCAAUAUAUACCAUUACAGUUCUAAUUUCCUGUCCUCAAUGAAUGGGAGAAAAACUUCAUACGGCUGACAUGGCAAGAGAACCUUAAUUAUAACAGGAGAUCAAUUCUGUAUACAACUAAUGUCAAAAGCUUGGAUAAGAAGUAAGAAAUUUUCUACUAAUUUUUAUUAGUACUUUUUGCUUGUUUGAUAUUGACACCAAAUAGGGCAUAAAGUUUUCUUAAUACUUCAAUAUAUACAAGUAAUGUAAAAAAGUUAGAACUAAAAAAAAUAAGAAUAUUCCCACUAAUGUAUCAAUAUAUAUUUUUUUGUCAGUAUUGUUCUAUCGUGUUAUCAUUAACACAAAAUUUGCCAAUAUUUUCCUAAAACCUCAAUAUGUGUAUGUGUAUGUGUAUGUGUGUGUUAUAUGUAAUAUAAAAAAGUUAGAAUGAAAAAAGUAUGCAUUUCCACUAAUACACCAAUUUUUGUGUGCAUGUUUUUUAGAAAGUACAAUGCAUACAAGUAAUAUCACGCUAUUUAAUACCAAUGAUACAAUAGUUUAGAUAGCAACACUUGAUAAUUAAGUGAAUUAUAUGGCAUUCAGGGACGGAUUCAGCCGCUCGAGUGAGCCAGGGCGGAGCAUAGAACAGUACCUCCAAUAUAGCAAGAUUGAUUACUAAUAUUUAAUUAAUUCAUAUGAAAAGAAUCUC